rnacentral:rRNA from 1 species
CCUACGGGAUGCAGCAGUGAGGAAUAUUGGUCAAUGGUCGGGAGACUGAACCAGCCAAGCCGCGUGAGGGAUGAAGGUACAGAGUAUCGUAAACCUCUUUUGUCAGGGAACAAAGGCGGGGACGCGUCCCCGGAUGAGUGUACCUGAAGAAAAAGCAUCGGCUAACUCCGUGCCAGCAGCCGCGGUAAUCCGGAGGGUGCGAGCGUUAUCCGGAUUUAUUGGGUUUAAAGGGUGCGCAGGCGGUCUGUUAAGUCAGCGGUAAAAGCCCGGGGCUCAACCCCGGCCCGCCGUUGAAACUGGCAGUCUCGAGUUGGAGAGAAGUAUGCGGAAUGCGCGGUGUAGCGGUGAAAUGCAUAGAUAUCGCGCAGAACUCCGAUUGCGAAGGCAGCAUGCCGGCUCCACACUGACGCUGAGGCACGAAAGCGUGGGUAUCGAACAGGAUUAGAUACCCCUGUAGUC